GGCUGAUCCCAGGGCAAUCCUGAGGCCGAUCCCGGGCUGAUCCUGGGGCCAAUCCCAGGGUGAUCCCAAGUCGAUCUCAGGGCCGAUCCCAGGCUGAUCCUGGGGCCAAUCUCGGGCUGAUCCCGAGGCCAAUCCCAGGGCCAAUCCCAGGCUGAUCCCAGGGCCAAUCCUGGGCCAAUCCCAGGCCUUCCAACCCAGGAUGUCCCGAUGAACAGGAGCGAUGCAAAGCCUCGGCCAGGAAUCCUGGCCAAAGGGGGCCGAAUCCUCAGGGUGGAGCUUCCUCAAAGCCAUAUUUCGUUGGAAAAUUAAAUAAGUUUCUAAGUGCUGAAUUCUCAAGGAGCAGCUUCUUAAAUGCCAUUAUUUCAUUGGGAAGUUAAAUAAGUUUCUGAGUGUUGAAUUCUCAAGGAUGAGCUUCUUAAAAGCCAUUAUUUCAUUGGAAAAUUAAAUAAGUUUCUGAGUGUUGAAUUCUCCAGGAGGAGCUUCUUAAAAGCCAUAUUUCACUUGAAAAUUGAGAGAAGUUUCUAAGUGUUGAAUUCUUAACUAGCAGCUUCUUAAAUGCCAUUAUUUCACUGGGAAAUUAAAUAAGUUUCUGAGUGUUGAAUUCUCCAGGAGGAGCUUCUUAAAAGCCAUGUUUGAAAACUGAGAGGAGUUUCUAAGGGUUGAGUUCUCCAGGAUGAGCUUCCUAUUUUUUAAAAGCCAUCUUUAAUUGGAAAAUUUAGGUAGUUUUUAAGUGUUGAACUCUCCAGGGUAAGUUUUUAAAAGCCACCUUUGAUUUGAAAAUUGAGAGAAUUUUCUGAGUGUUGAAUUCUUAAGGAUCCAGUGGGAUUUGAGCUCCCAACCCCUUCACCCUAAAAUCCGGUGGGAUUUGAGCUCCCAACCCUCCCAGACCCAAAAUCCAGUGGGAUUUGAGCUCCCAACCCUCCCAGACCCAAAAUCCAGUGGGUUUGGAGCUCAUAAAACGCCCAGUCCCAAAUUCCAGUGGGAUUUGAGCUCCUGAACCCCUCAGACCCAAAAUCCAGUGGGAUUUGAGCUCCCAAACCCCUCAGACCCAAAAUCCAGUGGGAUUUGAGCUCCUAAACUCCCAAGACCCAAAAUCCAGUGGGAUUUGAGCUCCCAACCCCCCUCAGACCCAAAAUCCAGUGGGAUUUGAGCUCCCAAACCCAUUCAGUGGAAUUUGAGCUCCCAAACCCCUCACACCCAAAACUAAGUUGGAUUUGAGCUCCCAAAUCCCCCAGUCCCAAAAUCCAGUGGGAUUUGAGCUCCCAAGAGCAUUCAGUGGAAUUUGGGCUUCCAAACCCUUCACACCCAAAAUCCAGUUGAUUUGACCCCUCACACCCAAAAUCCAGUGGGAUUUGAGCUCCUAAACCCCUCACACCCAAAAUCCAGUGGGAUUUGAGCUCCUAAACCCCCCAGACCCAAAAUCCAGUGGGAUUUGACCUCCCAACCCCCCUAGACCCAAAAUCCAGUGGGAUUUGAGCUCCCAACCCCUUCACCCAAAAAUCCAGUGGGAUUUGAGCUCCCAACCCCCCCAGACCCAAAAUCCAGUGGAAUUUGAGCUCCUGAACCCCUCACACCCAAAAUCCAGUGGAAUUUGAGCUCCUAACCCCCUCCCAGACCCAAAAUCCAGUGGAAUUUGACCUCCCAACCCCCCCAGACCCAAAAUCCAGUGGGAUUUGAGCUCCCAACCCCCCUUCCCAAUUCACAGUUUCCCAAAUCCCGCCGCCGCCUCCUUUCCCUCCGAAGCUCCCCCCGGCUUUUCCCGCCGAUGGAAACCCCCAAUUCCAGGGGCAGAAUUCCCAGGAUCACCCCUUGCUGGGGGUGAUUUCCCUCCCAGUCCCCCCCCCCCGGGAACUCCCCGCGCUCCCUUUUCCCGUUUCCAGCUGCUUUUCCCCGGGG